CUGCUCCUUUCUCUGUCCUUGUGCCUCUUUUUGGGGACAAAAACGGUGUUUGCUGCCUUUCCCUCACUCCUGGGGUGAGGCUUGGCCUCAUCCUGCUGUGGGUGAGGAUGAUGAAGGCUGAGGAUGAUGAAGGGCACUCAGGGGGUCCCUUUAGUCCCUUGGUCUCAUCCUGGUGUGGGUGAGGAUGAUGAAGGCGAGGAUGAUGAAGACGAAGGUGAGGAUGAUGAAGACGAAGGUGAGGAUGAUGAAGGUGAGGAUGAUGAAGGUGAGGAUGAUGAAGGUGAGGACGAUGAAGGUGAGGAUGAUGAAGGGCGCUCAAAGGGGUCCUUUGAUCUCAUCCUGGUGUGGGUGAGGAUGAUGAAGGGCGGGGAUGAUGAAGGGUGACGAUGAUGAAGGGUGACAAUGAUGAAGGUGAGGACGAUGAAGGUGAGGAUGAUGCAGGGUGAGGAUGAUGAAGGUGAGGAUUAUGAAGGGUGACAAUGACGAAGGUGAGGAUGAUGAAGGUGAGGAUGACGAAGGCACCCUGUGGGCAGGACGAGGAGGAGAACGGCGCGGGCAGCAAAGGGGAGCAGGCCAAGAACCCCGAGCUGCACGAGGACAACGUGACGGAGCAGACGCAUCACAUCAUCAUCCCCAGCUACGCCGCCUGGUUCGACUACAACAGGUACGGCGCCUUCCU
rnacentral:lncRNA from 1 species